rnacentral:rRNA from 1 species
AGGAGGCAGCAGUGGGGAAUAUUGGACAAUGGGCGCAAGCCUGAUCCAGCCAUGCCGCGUGAGUGAUGAAGGCCCUAGGGUUGUAAAGCUCUUUCACCGGUGAAGAUAAUGACGGUAACCGGAGAAGAAGCCCCGGCUAACUUCGUGCCAGCAGCCGCGGUAAUACGAAGGGGGCUAGCGUUGUUCGGAUUUACUGGGCGUAAAGCGCACGUAGGCGGACUAUUAAGUCAGGGGUGAAAUCCCGGGGCUCAACCCCGGAACUGCCUUUGAUACUGGUAGUCUUGAGUUCGAGAGAGGUGAGUGGAAUUCCGAGUGUAGAGGUGAAAUUCGUAGAUAUUCGGAGGAACACCAGUGGCGAAGGCGGCUCACUGGCUCGAUACUGACGCUGAGGUGCGAAAGCGUGGGGAGCAAACAGGAUUAGAUACCCCGGUAGC